rnacentral:rRNA from 1 species
CGCGUAGGCGGGCGGCCAAGUCAAGGGUGAAAGCCUCCAGCUCAACUGGAGAAGUGCCUUUGAUACUGGCCAUCUUGAGGGAGGUAGGGGCGUGCGGAACUUCCGGUGGAGCGGUGAAAUGCGUAGAUAUCGGAAGGAACACCGGUGGCGAAAGCGGCGCGCUGGACCUCUUCUGACGCUGAGGCGCGAAAGCCAGGGGAGCAAACG